GUGCGGGGAUGAGGUGUGGGUAGGGGUGAAAUGCCAAUCGAACCUGGAGAUAGCUGGUUCUCUCCGAAAUAGCUUUA
rnacentral:rRNA from 1 species